CCUACGGGUGGCAGCAGUGAGGAAUAUUGGUCAAUGGACGAGAGUCUGAACCAGCCAAGUAGCGUGAAGGAUGACUGCCCUAUGGGUUGUAAACUUCUUUUAUAUGGGAAUAAAAUGUUCCACGUGUGGGAUUUUGUAUGUACCAUAUGAAUAAGGAUCGGCUAACUCCGUGCCAGCAGCCGCGGUGAUACGGAGGAUCCGAGCGUUAUCCGGAUUUAUUGGGUUUAAAGGGAGCGUAGGUGGAUUGUUAAGUCAGUUGUGAAAGUUUGCGGCUCAACCGUAAAAUUGCAGUUGAAACUGGCAGUCUUGAGUACAGUAGAGGUGGGCGGAAUUCGUGGUGUAGCGGUGAAAUGCUGAGAUAUCACGAAGAACUCCGAUUGCGAAGGCAGUUCACUGGACUGCAACUGACACUGAGGCUCGAAAGUGUGGGUAUCAAACAGGAUUAGAUACCCUAGUAGUC
rnacentral:rRNA from 1 species